CGUCGCUCAGUUAAGUCCAGUCAACGGGAAGCUGUCAUCGUGAGUGUAUACUAUUUUUCGUCAUGAAAAUCCUGUUUCUGUUACUGGCCGUGAUGGUGGCCCUGGCCGCCCUGAUGGGGUCAGCCCAAGCUUUGCCUGAUUCACAAGAAAAAAAGCCAGCUGCUAGUCAAAAGCUUAGCAAAACAAGCGGGGUUCGACGCCGAGGCUUCCGUGGUUAAUCACGACAACUGUUCUCCACUACCAGUCUCUUCCAAGCGACGGAUCCGGCCAGAAACCUGAACAAAAAUCCAGUCUAUGCGCAAGCCAUCUAAUCCCUACUCUAUCUAAUUGAUUAUUUACGUGUCACUAAAAAUGUCAGUAAAGUAUUUCCGCAAAUAAACCUUA